AUUGAUUGGUGGGGCUACCAUUCAUCUCUUCAACAUGAAAAAACAGUUGAAGACAGGGAAGCAUAAGCUUAGGCUUUGGCCAGGCAAAGAGGCAGAUGGAUCUAUUAACACAACAACACCUGGAAAGGUCCCAAGGGAGGAACGCGGGGAGUUGGAGCGUUUGGAGAAGCUGGUUAAUAAGUAUGAGAGAGGACAGAUUCAACGAGUUGAUUGGCUGGACCGCCUUGCAUUUAAAGCAAUGGACAAAAUUAAGGAGACUGAAAAUAGUCGAAAUGGAAGUUCUCAUUUGUAUGUGGUUGUUGAUUUUUGCAGUUUUGAACAUCGAG
rnacentral:misc_RNA from 1 species